rnacentral:rRNA from 1 species
AUUGAACGCUGGCGGCAGGCUUAACACAUGCAAGUCGAGCGGGGAUUGGGUGCUUGCACCUAAUCUUAGCGGCGGACGGGUGAGUAAUGCUUAGGAAUCUGCCAUUUAGUGGGGGACAACAUUCCGAAAGGGAUGCUAAUACCGCAUACGCCCUACGGGGGAAAGCAGGGGAUCAUUAGACCUUGCGCUAAAUGAUGAGCCUAAGUCGGAUUAGCUAGUUGGUGGGGUAAAGGCCUACCAAGGCGACGAUCUGUAGCGGGUCUGAGAGGAUGAUCCGCCACACUGGGACUGAGACACGGCCCAGACUCCUACGGGAGGCAGCAGUGGGGAAUAUUGGACAAUGGGCGCAAGCCUGAUCCAGCCAUGCCGCGUGUGUGAAGAAGGCCUUUUGGUUGUAAAGCACUUUAAUCGAGGAGGAGGCUACCUGGAUUACUACUCUAGGAUAGUGGACGUUACUCGCAGAAUACGCACCGGCUAACUCUGUGCCAGCAGCCGCGGUAAUACAGAGGGUGCGAGCGGUAAUCGGAAUUUACUGGGCCUAAAAGCGUGCGUAGGCGGCUGAUUAAGUCGGAUGUGAAAUCCCUGAGCUUAACUUAGGAAUUGCAUUCGAUACUGGUCAGCUAGAGUAUGGGAGAGGAUGGUAGAAUUCCAGGUGUAGCGGUGAAAUGCGUAGAGAUCUGGAGGAAUACCGAUGGCGAAGGCAGCCAUCUGGCCUAAUACUGACGCUGAGGUACGAAAGCAUGGGGAGCAAACAGGAUUAGAUACCCUGGUAGUCCAUGCCGUAAACGAUGUCUACUAGCCGUUGGGGCCUUUGAGGCUUUAGUGGCGCAGCUAACGCGAUAAGUAGACCGCCUGGGGAGUACGGUCGCAAGACUAAAACUCAAAUGAAUUGACGGGGGCCCGCACAAGCGGUGGAGCAUGUGGUUUAAUUCGAUGCAACGCGAAGAACCUUACCUGGCCUUGACAUAGUAGAAACUUUCCAGAGAUGGAUUGGUGCCUUCGGGAAUCUACAUACAGGUGCUGCAUGGCUGUCGUCAGCUCGUGUCGUGAGAUGUUGGGUUAAGUCCCGCAACGAGCGCAACCCUUUUCCUUACUUGCCAGCAUUUCGGAUGGGAACUUUAAGGAUACUGCCAGUGACAAACUGGAGGAAGGCGGGGACGACGUCAAGUCAUCAUGGCCCUUACGGCCAGGGCUACACACGUGCUACAAUGGUCGGUACAAAGGGUUGCUACCUAGCGAUAGGAUGCUAAUCUCAAAAAGCCGAUCGUAGUCCGGAUUGGAGUCUGCAACUCGACUCCAUGAAGUCGGAAUCGCCAGUAAUCGCGGAUCAGAAUGCCGCGGUGAAUACGUUCCCGGGCCG